UACAGAGGGUGCAAGCGUUAAUCGGAAUUACUGGGCGUAAAGCGUGCGUAGGUGGGUUGUUAAGUCAGGCGUGAAAUCCUGGGGCUCAACCUCAGAAUUGCGCUUGAUACUGACAGACUCGAGUGUGGUAGAGGAUAGUGGAAUUCCCGGUGUAGCGGUGAAAUGCGUAGAUAUCGGGAGGAACAUCAGUGGCGAAGGCGGCUAUCUGGACCAACACUGACACUGAGGUACGAAAGCGUGGGUAGCAUCCACG
rnacentral:rRNA from 1 species